rnacentral:rRNA from 1 species
AUUCCAGCUCCAAUAGCGUAUAUUAAAGUUGUUGCAGUUAAAAAGCUCGUAGUUGGAUUUCUGGUGGGAGGGAUCGGUCCCGCACCUAGUGUGGGAACUUGUAUCCUCUCCGGCCAUCCUUGGGUGGAUCUUGUCUGGCAUUAAGUUGUCAGUCAGGGGAUGCCCAUCGUUUACUGUGAAAAAAUUAGAGUGUUCAAAGCAGGCUUAUGCCAUUGAAUAUAUUAGCAUGGAAUAAUAAGAUAGGGCCCUGGUACUAUUUUGUUGGUUUGCGUACCGAGGUAAUGAUUAAUAGGGACAGUUGGGGGUAUUUGUAUUCAGUAUUCAGUGGUGAAAUACUUAGACCUACGGAAGACAAACUACUGCGAAAGCAUUUACCAAGGAUGUUUUCAUCA